rnacentral:pre_miRNA from 1 species
CGUUAUGUCGUGCGUUAUAAAUAAUUCAUAGGCAAUAUUUAGAAUGGCUGCGAGCCAUUUUUAGAAUUGGCUGGGAAUUGUUUACAACACCCUCCUCA